UGGUGACUAUAGCAAGGAGGUCACACCUGUUCCCAUGCCGAACACAGAAGUUAAGCUCCUUAGCGUCGAUGGUAGUCGAACUUACGUUCCGCUAGAG
rnacentral:rRNA from 1 species